GCAAGCGUCUUAAGGGCAUUUGGUGGAUGCCUCGGUGUCGAGAGGCGAUGAAGGACGUGGCACUCUGCGAUAAGCCGCGGGGAGAUGAGAGCGAUCUUUGAUCCGCGGAUUUCCGAAUGGGGAAACCCGACCCUUUAGGGUCAUCGUACGGUGAAUUCAUAGCCGUGCGAGGCGAACCCGGGGAACUGAAACAUCUCAGUACCCGGAGGAAAGGACAUCAACCGAGACUCCGUUAGUAGUGGCGAGCGAACGCGGACUAGCCCAGUGGCUCAGACAAGCGAACCGGAACCGGCUGGAAAGCCGGGCCAGAGCGGGUGACAGCCCCGUACGGGCAAGGGUUUGUUUGGGUCCUCGAGUAGGGCGGGACACGUGAAAUCCUGUCUGAACGUGGGGGGACCACCCUCCAAGGCUAAGUACUCCUCGACAACCGAUAGUGAACAAGUACCGUGAGGGAAAGGUGAAAAGCACCCCGACGAGGGGAGUGAAAUAGACCCUGAAACCGAAUGCCUACAAUCAGUGGGAGGGGCCUUGUGCCCUGACCGCGUACCUUUUGCAUAAUGGGUCAGCGAGUUAGUCUUACGAGCAAGCUUAAGCCGGUGAGGUGUAGGCGCAGCGAAAGCGAGUCUGAACAGGGCGUUCAGUUCGUAGGAUUAGACCCGAAACCGGGUGAUCUAGCCAUGGGCAGGCUGAAGGUGAGGUAACACUCACUGGAGGGCCGAACCCACGUUCGUUGAAAAGAACGGGGAUGACCUGUGGUUAGGGGUGAAAGGCCAAUCAAACCCGGAGAUAGCUGGUUCUCCGCGAAAACUAUUUAGGUAGUGCGUCAGAUGGUGGCUCUCGGGGGUAGAGCACUGGAUGGGCUAGGGGGGCGCGAGCCUUACCAAACCUAACCAAACUCCGAAUACCGAGAAGUCCAGUCUGGCAGACAGACCGUGGGUGCUAAGGUCCAUGGUCGAGAGGGAAACAGCCCAGACCGCCAGCUAAGGUCCCCAAGUCACGGCUAAGUGGGAAAGGAUGUGGGAAGGCCAAGACAACCAGGAGGUUGGCUUAGAAGCAGCCACCCUUUAAAGAAAGCGUAAUAGCUCACUGGUCUAGAUAAGCCGUCCUGCGCCGAAAAUGUACCGGGGCUCAAGCCGUGCACCGAAGCUGCGGACUCGUCUUUGACGAGUGGUAGCGGAGCGUUGCCUAGGCCUGCGAAGCGGCACCCGUGAGGGGCCGUGGAGGUAUGGCAAGUGCGAAUGCUGACAUGAGUAGCGAUAAAGAGUGUGAGAAACACUCUCGCCGAAAGUCCAAGGGUUCCUGCGCAAGGCUAAUCCGCGCAGGGUGAGCCGGCCCCUAAGCCGAGGGCGAAAGCCGUAGGCGAUGGGAACCAGGUUAAUAGUCCUGGGCCAGCGGGUGGUGACGGAUGCUGUAAGUUGUUCGGGCUGAUUGGAUUGUCCGGGCGGCGAAGGCGUCCCAGGAAAUAGCCCCCGCGUGUGACCGUACCCGAAACCGACACAGGUGGACUGGUAGAGCAUACCAAGGCGCUUGAGAGAACUGCGUUGAAGGAACUCGGCAAAUUGCCCCCGUAACUUCGGGAGAAGGGGGCCCCGGCCUUGGGCAACCAGGGUCGGGGGGCACAGACCAGGGGGUGGCGACUGUUUACUAAAAACACAGGGCUCUGCGAAGCCGCGCAAGGCGACGUAUAGGGUCUGACGCCUGCCCGGUGCCGGAAGGUUAAGAGGAGGGGUGCAAGCUCUGAAUCGAAGCCCCGGUAAACGGCGGCCGUAACUAUAACGGUCCUAAGGUAGCGAAAUUCCUUGUCGGGUAAGUUCCGACCUGCACGAAUGGCGUAACGACUUCCCCACUGUCUCCAACGCAGACUCAGCGAAAUUGAACUCUCCGUGAAGAUGCGGAGUACCCGCGGUUAGACGGAAAGACCCCGUGCACCUUUACUACAGCUUUGCAGUGACGCUAGGACCGGCUUGUGUAGGAUAGGCGGGAGGCUAGGAAGCCAGGGCGCCAGCUCUGGUGGAGCCACCCUUGAAAUACCGCCCUUGCCUGUCUUAGCGCCUAACCGCGGCCCGUUAUCCGGGUCCGGGACCCUGCAUGGUGGGUAGUUUGACUGGGGCGGUCGCCUCCCAAAGAGUAACGGAGGCGCGCGAUGGUGGGCUCAAGCCGGUCGGACAUCGGCUGUUGAGUGCAAUGGCAUAAGCCCGCCUGACUGCGAGACCGACAGGUCGAGCAGAGACGAAAGUCGGCCAUAGUGAUCCGGUGGUCCCGCGUGGAAGGGCCAUCGCUCAACGGAUAAAAGGUACGCCGGGGAUAACAGGCUGAUCUCCCCCAAGAGUCCACAUCGACGGGGAGGUUUGGCACCUCGAUGUCGGCUCAUCGCAUCCUGGGGCUGGAGCAGGUCCCAAGGGUAUGGCUGUUCGCCAUUUAAAGCGGUACGUGAGCUGGGUUUAGAACGUCGUGAGACAGUUCGGUCCCUAUCUGCCGUGGGUGUUCGAGACUUGAGAGGAGCUGUCCCUAGUACGAGAGGACCGGGAUGGACGCACCUCUGGUGGACCGGUUGUGGCGCCAGCCGCAUCGCCGGGUAGCUAUGUGCGGACGGGAUAACCGCUGAAGGCAUCUAAGCGGGAAGCCCCCCUCAAAACCAGGUCUCGCCUAAGAGCCGUCGUAGACCACGACGUCGAUAGGCCGGAGGUGGACGCGCAGCAAUGCGUGAAGCUGACCGGUACUAAUCGCUCGAUCGGCUUGUUUAA
rnacentral:rRNA from 1 species